rnacentral:rRNA from 1 species
GCCUGGGGAGUACGGUCGCAAGAUUAAAACUCAAAGGAAUUGACGGGGACCCGCACAAGCGGUGGAUGAUGUGGAUUAAUUCGAUGCAACGCGAAAAACCUUACCUACCCUUGACAUGGAUGGAAUCCUUGAGAGAUUAGGGAGUGCCCGAAAGGGAACCAUUACACAGGUGCUGCAUGGCUGUCGUCAGCUCGUGUCGUGAGAUGUUGGGUUAAGUCCCGCAACGAGCGCAACCCUUGUCAUUAGUUGCUACGAAAGAGCACUCUA